rnacentral:rRNA from 1 species
UACGGAGGGAGCUAGCGUUGUUCGGAAUUACUGGGCGUAAAGCGCACGUAGGCGGCUUUGUAAGUUAGAGGUGAAAGCCUGGGGCUCAACCCCAGAAUUGCCUUUAAGACUGCAUCGCUUGAAUCCGGGAGAGGUGAGUGGAAUUCCGAGUGUAGAGGUGAAAAUUCGUAGAUAUUCGGAAGAACACCAGUGGCGAAGGCGGCUCACUGGACCGGUAUUGACGCUGAGGUGCGAAAGCGUGGGGAGCAAACAGG